rnacentral:rRNA from 1 species
AUUGAACGCUGGCGGCAGGCCUAACACAUGCAAGUCGAGCGGAUGAAGGGAGCUUGCUCCUGGAUUCAGCGGCGGACGGGUGAGUAAUGCCUAGGAAUCUGCCUGGUAGUGGGGGAUAACGUCCGGAAACGGGCGCUAAUACCGCAUACGUCCUGAGGGAGAAAGUGGGGGAUCUUCGGACCUCACGCUAUCAGAUGAGCCUAGGUCGGAUUAGCUAGUUGGUGGGGUAAAGGCCUACCAAGGCGACGAUCCGUAACUGGUCUGAGAGGAUGAUCAGUCAAACUGGAAGUGAGAAACGGUCCAGACUCCGAGGGGAGGCAGGAGUGGGGAAUAUGGGACAAUGGGCGAAAGCCUGAUCCAGCCAGGCCGGGUGUGGGAAGAAGGUCUUCGGAUUGUAAAGCACUUUAAGUUGGGAGGAAGGGCAGUAAGGUAAUACCUUGCUGUUUUGACGUUACCAACAGAAAAAGCACCGGCUAACUGCGU